rnacentral:rRNA from 1 species
UACGUAGGGGGCAAGCGUUGUCCGGAAUCAUUGGGCGUAAAGCGCGUGUAGGCGGUUCGGUAAGUCUGCUGUGAAAGUCCAGGGCUCAACCCUGGGAUGCCGGUGGAUACUGUCGGACUAGAGUACGGAAGAGGCGAGUGGAAUUCCCGGUGUAGCGGUGAAAUGCGCAGAUAUCGGGAGGAACACCAAUGGCGAAGGCAGCUCGCUGGGACGUGACUGACGCUGAGACGCGAAAGCGUGGGGAGCAAACAGG